rnacentral:misc_RNA from 1 species
AACACAUCCUUAAAAAUUAACAGCCUGGUGUUUUUCUUUUUGUUUAUUGGAUUAGUAGUUAGUGAUAGAUUUGAGUGAAGCAAGAAGUUUCAUGUCCUUUUUCUUGCUCCUGUGGGGUCCUUUGUUUUUGCACUGGUAAAUGACAGCCUAAUCACCAGCCUGGAAAGGGUUGUUAUAGCCAUAGUUCCCCCACUAAAAAGAUAUCUGCUUUGAUGGGUUUUCACGGCUGCACUCAUUCAAUGUCAACUGGGUUUUGAUCUUUGACUCCAACCCAAUUUACUCUCUCUACCAAGUUCUAUACAUUUCUCUUUCUUUUGAGGUAAGGGUGUAUUCUUCAGCAAAUUUGUCUUUUUAUUUUUAUUUUUUUGCAUUUUCCAGAUUUCAGCAUCUUGUAUACACUUUUAUGUAGAGGUAGAAUUGGUUGGAGUUUUGUUUGAUAGAUCUGGGAUUUAUGAAGAUAUGGGUUCCUGGGCGUGAGUGAUUGGGGAACUGGGUUUCUAGAAUUUGGGUUCUUGAGGUCUUAGUGAAACGCUUUGAAGUUUCAUCAACUUUUUUCUGAGAUUCUGGCAGAAUGGCACAUAGAUACUGUUAGUUGUUUUCGGGGUUUAGCCGUUUAAGAUCUAGACAGUGUCUAUAUAGUUUCUGGUUUGUAGACUUGGGAAGUUGUUAUUUCGUUUGUCUGCAGGUAGUUCAGGGAUUUGGGAUACUGGAAACGCUGAAGAUGAAGCUUUUGAGUUGGUUAACUAUAGUUUCUGCUUUUGUUCUAUUUGACCUUUUUGGUUACAGUAAAUCAUUUGCCACAUUCUCUCCUCCUGAUAAUUACUUGAUUGCUUGUGGUUCUUCCCAAAAUGUUAGCUUCCAAGGUAGAACUUUCGUUCCUGAUUUGCAGCAUUCUUCCCUCACAUUAAAGAGUGUAACCUCUGUUGUUGCUGUCUCCAAUUCUAGUUUCCCAUCUCCCAUAUAUCAAUCUGCUCGAAUCUUCUCUAAAGUAGCUUCUUACAAAUUCCAAAUUCAGCAAGAGGGAAGGCAUUGGAUCCGCCUCUACUUUUACCCUGUUCCAAACUCGGGUCAAAACUUGACAUCUGCAUCAAUUACUGCAGUCACAGAUGAUUUUGUGCUCUUGAACAAUUUCACAUUCAAGAACUACAAGGGUUCUUAUCUGUUCAAGGAGUAUGCAGUCAAUGUGACAUCUGAUAGCUUGACCCUUUCCUUCAUUCCUUCAAACAAUUCGGUCACAUUUGUUAAUGCAAUUGAAGUUGUUUCUAUCCCUGAUGGAAUCUUCCCUGACCAGGCAUUUUCUGUAAAUCCACGUGCCCCUUUCAGUGGUCUUUCUGAACUUGCCUUUGAAACUGUUUACCGGUUAAACAUGGGGGGUCCAUUGAUAACAGCACAAAAUGAUACUCUUGGAAGAACUUGGGAGAAUGAUGCCAAAUACCUCCAUGUGAACAGCUCUGCUGUGACUGUUACAGCUAACCCUGCACUCAUCAAUUAUCCAGCUUCCGUCACACCUGAAACGGCACCAAAUUGGGUUUAUGCCACUGCUAAAGCCAUGGGAAAUGCAAAUGUUGCCAAUAUGAACUUCAACAUAACUUGGGUCUUUUCUGUCAAUCGGAACUUCUCUUACUUCGUUCGGGUGCAUUUCUGUGAUAUUGUUAGCAAAGCACUGAAUAACCUUGUAUUCAAUCUAUACAUAAAUGAUAAUAGUGCCCUUGAUAGUUUUGACCUAUCGUCCUUUACCAAUGCUCUGAAUGUACCCUAUUACAGAGACUUUGUCUCCAAUUCCUCUCUGGAAUCCAAUACUUUGACUGUCAGCGUUGGUCCAGAUAUGGAAGCAGACAUCACUAAUGCAACCAUGAAUGGUUUGGAGAUUAUAAAGAUUAGCAAUGAAGCUAAAAGCUUGGAUGGGCUUUCUUCUGUUGAGAGCCUUCUUCCUGAAUCACUCUCAAAGAAAAGUAAGAUAGGAAUCAUAAUUGGUUCAGUUGCUGGAGCUGUAGCUGCAUUUGCUCUUAGUGUUUUCUGUUACUGUUGCUUGGUGGUCCGCAAGUCGAAGACCACUCACCAGGGCCAUCCAUGGCUGCCUUUGCCCUUGUAUGGAAAUUCUCAGACCAUGACAAAGGUGUCCACAGCUUCUCAAAAGAGUGGAACAGCGAGCUUCAUUUCAUUGGCCUCCUCGAAUCUUGGUAGAUUCUUCUCAUUCCAAGAAAUUCUUGAUGCAACCAACAAGUUUGAUGAGAACCUGCUGCUUGGGGUUGGUGGCUUUGGCAGGGUCUACAAGGGAACACUUGAAGAUGGGACCAAAGUGGCUGUGAAAAGAGGAAACCCUAGAUCAGAACAAGGUCUUGCUGAAUUCCGAACUGAGAUCGAAAUGUUAUCCAAGCUCCGUCAUCGCCACCUUGUCUCACUUAUUGGCUAUUGUGACGAAAGGUCAGAAAUGAUUCUUGUUUAUGAAUACAUGGCUAAUGGACCUCUCAGGAGCCAUCUGUAUGGAACAGAUCUACCACCAUUAUCAUGGAAGCAACGACUUGAAAUAUGUAUUGGUGCUGCAAGGGGGCUUCAUUAUCUUCACACAGGUGCAGCUCAAAGCAUUAUCCAUCGUGAUGUCAAGACAACAAAUAUUCUCUUGGAUGAGAAUUUUGUAGCCAAAGUUGCUGAUUUUGGCCUCUCAAAAACUGGCCCAGCUCUUGAUCAGACCCAUGUGAGUACUGCUGUUAAGGGUAGCUUUGGUUACCUUGAUCCUGAAUACUUCCGAAGGCAACAGCUCACAGAGAAAUCCGAUGUAUAUUCAUUUGGGGUGGUUCUAAUGGAAGUUCUCUGUACUAGACCCGCUUUAAAUCCAGUUCUUCCAAGGGAGCAAGUUAAUAUAGCUGAGUGGGCAAUGACCUGGCAGAAGAAGGGUAUGUUGGACCACAUCAUGGACCCCAAUCUGGUGGGAAAGGUGAAUCCAGCUUCUCUCAAAAAGUUUGGGGAGACAGCUGAGAAGUGCCUUGCUGAGCAUGGAGUUGAUAGGCCAUCGAUGGGGGAUGUCUUAUGGAAUCUUGAAUAUGCUCUGCAGCUUGAGGAAACCUCAUCUGCACUGAUGGAACCUGAAGAUAAUAGCACAAACCAUAUUCCAGGCAUUCCGUUGACACCACUCGAACCAUUUGAUAACAGUAUAAGCAUAAUUGACGGGGGGCACUCUGGAACAGAUGAUGAUGCUGAAGAUGCUGCAACAAGCGCUGUAUUUUCCCAGCUAGUAAAUCCUCGUGGAAGGUGAAAAGUAAAAACUCCCACCAUUUGUGGUCAAUAGAAAUUCUAGUGACCGUUUGGCCAUCCGGUCCUGGUGUAGAGAGUUCUCAGAAAAUGCCAAGGGAAUAAACUAAGGUCAUGUCGUAUUUACAUUAUUCUGUUAUUUUACCUCAAUUUUUCAUCCAUAGUAUAUUUAGUUUGUAAUAUAGUUCAAUGAUGGAAACUAAUUAAUCCAUCAGCAGUUGCGUGAAAGGCACCAUAAGAUUCGCUCAUUGUCUUUGUUUUACAUUCAUCUGGGUUUCUGCUACCCAUUCCAUUUUUUACACAGUUACCAAUAUUCAAUGUAUUGGGUUUAUAUCUUCUGUUUACUGAAUGAGAAUAGAAAUAAGUUAUUUUCAG